GGAGGGAUGACCGAACGGUAAGGAACUGGUCUCGAAAACCAGCACGGCCCAAAAGGCCUUCCGGGUUCGAAUCCCGGUCCCUCCGCCA
rnacentral:tRNA from 1 species